rnacentral:rRNA from 1 species
GGAGCAACCUAGUUGUGCGUGUGUAAAGGUAGUGCCAAGAAAAGCGAUGAUCAUGUUGAAAAUCAAUUCCCGGUACCCGAAACCGACACAGGUGGGCAAGUAGAGAAUACUAAGGGGCGCGAGGUAACUCUCUCCAAGGAACUCGGCAAAAUGACCCCGUAACUUAGGGAGAAGGGGUGCCACCGAGAGGUGGUCGCAGUGAAGAGGCCCAGGCGACUGUUUAGCAAAAACAUAGGUCUCUGCAAACUCGAAAGAGGAGGUAUAGGGGCUGACGCCUGCCCAGUGCCGGAAGGUUAAAGAAGUUGGUCAGUCUUAGGAUGAAGCUAGCGACUGAAGCCCCGGUGAACGGCGGCCGUAACUAUAACGGUCCUAAGGUAGCGAAAUUCCUUGUCGGGUAAGUUCCGACCCGCACGAAAGGCGUAACGAUCUGGGCGCUGUCUCGGAGAGAGGCUCGGCGAAAUAGGAUUGUCUGUGAAGAUACGGACUACCUGCAUUUGGACAGAAAGACCCUAUGAAGCUUUACUAUAGCUUGGAAUUGUGUUCGGGCUUCCUGUGCGCAGGAUAGGUGGGAGGCGUAGAAGGUAUUCUUGUGGGGAUACUGGAGCCAACGGUGAGAUACCACUCUCAGGAGGCUAGAAUUCUAACUUAAUUAAGGACAGUUUCAGGUGGGUAGUUUGACUGGGGCGGUCGCCUCCAAAAAGGUAACGGAGGCGUACAAAGGUUCCCUCAGACUGGUUGGAAAUCAGUCGAAGAGUGCAAAGGCAGAAGGGAGCUUGACUGCGAGAAGUACAGUUCGAGCAGGGUGGAAACACGGUCUUAGUGAUCCGACGGUGCUGUGUGGAAGGGCCGUCGCUCAACGGAUAAAAGUUACUCUAGGAUAACAGGCUGAUCUCCCCCAAGAGUUCACAUCGACGGGGAGGUUUGGCACCUCGAUGUCGGCUCAUCGCAACCUGGGGCGGAAGUACGUCCCAAGGGUUGGGCUGUUCGCCCAUUAAAGCGGUACGUGAGCUGGGUUCAGAACGUCGUGAGACAGUUCGGUCCAUAUCCGAUGUAGGCGUGAGAAUAUUGAGAGGAGCCUUCCUUAGUACGAGAGGACCGGGAAGGACGCACCGCUGGUGUACCUGUUAUGAUGCCAAUUGUAAACGCAGGGUAGCCAAGUGCGGAGAGGAUAACCGCUGAAAGCAUCUAAGUGGGAAGCCCACCUCAAGAUGAGUAUUCUGGUGUAAGGUCACGGGAAGACGACCCGUAAAUAGGCACGAGGUGGAAGUGCAGAGAUGUAUGAAGCCGAAGUGUACUAAUAGACCGUCGGCUUGACC